AAAUUGAAGAGUUUGAUCAUGGCUCAGAUUGAACGCUGGCGGCAGGCCUAACACAUGCAAGUCGAACGGUAACAGGAAGCAGCUUGCUGCUUCGCUGACGAGUGGCGGACGGGUGAGUAAUGUCUGGGAAACUGCCUGAUGGAGGGGGAUAACUACUGGAAACGGUAGCUAAUACCGCAUAACGUCGAAAGACCAAAGAGGGGGACCUUCGGGCCUCUUGCCAUCGGAUGUGCCCAGAUGGGAUUAGCUUGUUGGUGGGGUAAUGGCUCACCAAGGCGACGAUCCCUAGCUGGUCUGAGAGGAUGACCAGCCACACUGGAACUGAGACACGGUCCAGACUCCUACGGGAGGCAGCAGUGGGG
rnacentral:rRNA from 1 species